UACGGGGGGGGCAAGCGUUGUUCGGAAUUACUGGGCGUAAAGGGCGCGUAGGCGGCCUUCUAAGUCGGACGUGAAAUCCCUCAGCUUAACUGGGGAACUGCGUCUGAUACUGGCGAGCUUGAGUGCAGGAGAGGAACGCGGAAUUCCAGGUGUAGCGGUGAAAUGCGUAGAUAUCGGGAGGAACACCAGUGGCGAAGGCGAGUCUCUGGGAUGAUGCUGACGCUGAGGCGCGAAAGCCAGGGGAGCAAACGGG
rnacentral:rRNA from 1 species